GGAUUUAUAUAUUUGUGCUUGCAGGCAACUCAUCCUUGGCUUAUAGAAAGGUAUAUUUCUAAAUACAUAUACCCUGGAUCCUCUACAUAUGACCAAGGUUGAUACUUCCACCUUUGCCAACCAUAAACAAUCCCCAAUCAGUAAGAAAGAAAACAUCUUCUACAGGAAGCAAACGAGCAUGAAGUAGCACCAGUAGUAUGUGCCCAACAAACUGAAAGGUAAAACGGAGAUUUAGC
rnacentral:misc_RNA from 1 species